AUUUAGGAUCAAGCGCCAGACCUAAUCCUGAUUAGGUGACGAGGAAUGAGCUAAUCGAAGUUUUCGGCGGGUGGCUCAAGGCUAUGCGGUCUAAAGAAAUAAGACAAAUCAAAGCUGUCAGGCUCUGGACAAAACUUAUUUCAAGCAUAUGA
rnacentral:ncRNA from 2 species